GACGAACGCUGGCGGCGUGCUUAACACAUGCAAGUCGAACGGUAAGGCCCCUUCGGGGGUACACGAGUGGCGAACGGGUGAGUAACACGUGGGUGAUCUGCCCUGCACUUCGGGAUAAGCCUGGGAAACUGGGUCUAAUACCGGAUAGGACCACGCUCUGCAUGGAGUGUGGUGGAAAGCUUUUGCGGUGUGGGAUGGGCCCGCGGCCUAUCAGCUUGUUGGUGGGGUGAUGGCCUACCAAGGCGACGACGGGUAGCCGGCCUGAGAGGGUGUCCGGCCACACUGGGACUGAGAUACGGCCCAGACUCCUACGGGAGGCAGCAGUGGGGAAUAUUGCACAACGGGCGCAAGCCUGAUGCAGCGACGCCGCGUGGGGGAUGACGGCCUUCGGGUUGUAAACCUCUUUCAGUACCGACGAAGCGCAAGUGACGGUAGGUACAGAAGAAGCACCGGCCAACUACGUG
rnacentral:rRNA from 1 species